UACGGGGGGGGCAAGCGUUGUUCGGAAUUACUGGGCGUAAAGGGCUUGUAGGUGGCCAACUAAGUCAGACGUGAAAUCCCUCGGCUUAACCGGGGAACUGCGUCUGAUACUGGAUGGCUAGAGUGUGGGAGAGGGAAGCGGAAUUCCGGGUGUAGCGGUGAAAUGCGUAGAUAUCCGGAGGAACACCGGUGGCGAAGGCGGCUUCCUGGACCGACACUGACGCUGAGGCGCGAAAGCUAGGGGAGCAAACGGG
rnacentral:rRNA from 1 species